AGCGAACGCUGGCGGCAGGCUUAACACAUGCAAGUCGAGCGGGCCUUUCGGGGUCAGCGGCGGACGGGUGAGUAACGCGUGGGAACGUGCCCUCUGGUUCGGAAUAACUCAGGGAAACUUGAGCUAAUACCGGAUACGCCCUUUUGGGGAAAGGCUUGCUGCCGGAGGAUCGGCCCGCGUCUGAUUAGCUAGUUGGUGAGGUAACGGCUCACCAAGGUGACGAUCAGUAGCUGGUCUGAGAGGAUGAUCAGCCACACUGGGACUGAGACACGGCCCAGACUCCUACGGGAGGCAGCAGUGGGGAAUAUUGGACAAUGGGCGCAAGCCUGAUCCAGCCAUGCCGCGUGAGUGAUGAAGGCCUUAGGGUUGUAAAGCUCUUUUAUCCGGGACGAUAAUGACGGUACCGGAGGAAUAAGCCCCGGCUAACUUCGUG
rnacentral:rRNA from 1 species